rnacentral:rRNA from 1 species
GAUGAACGCUGGCGGCGUGCCUAAUACAUGCAAGUCGAGCGAACAGACGAGGAGCUUGCUCCUCUGACGUUAGCGGCGGACGGGUGAGUAACACGUGGAUAACCUACCUAUAAGACUGGGAUAACUUCGGGAAACCGGAGCUAAUACCGGAUAAUAUAUUGAACCGCAUGGUUCAAUAGUGAAAGACGGCUUUGCUGUCACUUAUAGAUGGAUCCGCGCCGCAUUAGCUAGUUGGUAAGGUAACGGCUUACCAAGGCAACGAUGCGUAGCCGACCUGAGAGGGUGAUCGGCCACACUGGAACUGGGACACGGUCCAGACUCCUACGGGAGGCAGCAGUAGGGAAUCUUCCGCAAUGGGCGAAAGCCUGACGGAGCAACGCCGCGUGAGUGGUGAAGGUCUUCGGAUCGUAAAACUCUGUUAUUAGGGAAGAACAAAUGUGUAAGUAACUAUGCACGUCUUGACGGUACCUAAUCAGAAAGCCACGGCUAACUACGUG